rnacentral:rRNA from 1 species
AGCGAACGCUGGCGGCAGGCCUAACACAUGCAAGUCGAACGAAGUCUUCGGACUUAGUGGCGGACGGGUGAGUAACACGUGGGAACGUACCUUUUGGUUCGGAACAACUCAGGGAAACUUGAGCUAAUACCGGAUGAGCCCUUAGGGGGAAAGAUUUAUCGCCGAAAGAGCGGCCCGCGUUAGAUUAGCUAGUUGGUGAGGUAAAGGCUCACCAAGGCUACGAUCUAUAGCUGGUCUGAGAGGAUGAUCAGCCACACUGGGACUGAGACACGGACCAGACUCCUACGGGAGGCAGCAGUGGGGAUUCUAGCGCAAUGGGCGAAAGCCUGACGCAGCCAUUCCGCGUGAAUGAUGAAGGUCUUAGGAUUGUAAAAUUCUUUUACCAGGGACGAUAAUGACGGUACCUGGAGAAAAAGCCCCGGCUAACUUCGUGCCAGCCGCCGCAGUAAAAC